rnacentral:rRNA from 1 species
CACGCUGUAAACGAUGAGUACUGGGUGUAGGUGGGGUUAGAGCCAUCUGUGCCGAAGCAAACGCGUUAAGUACUCCGCCUGGGGAGUACGGCCGCAAGGCUAAAACUCAAAGGAAUUGAC